rnacentral:rRNA from 1 species
UACAGAGGGGGCAAGCGUUAUUCGGAAUUAUUGGGCGUAAAGGGCGCGUAGGCGGCUUUGCAAGUGGCGGGUGAAAUCCCUCGGCUUAACCGGGGAACUGCGUCUGAUACUGGAUGGCUUGAAUCCGGGAGAGGGAUGCGGAAUUCCAGGUGUAGCGGUGAAAUGCGUAGAUAUCUGGAGGAACACCGGUGGCGAAGGCGGCAUCCUGGACCGGCAUUGACGCUGAGGCGCGAAAGCCAGGGGAGCAAACGGG